rnacentral:piRNA from 1 species
UGAGAGUUGUUAGCUCAUGGACCAUGAUAGU